rnacentral:rRNA from 1 species
UUGGUUAAGUUAUUAAGGGCGCACGGCGAAUGCCUUGGCACUAGGAGCCGAUGAAGGACGGCACUAACACCGAUAUGCUUCGGGGAGCUGUAAGUGAGCUUUGAUCCGGAGAUUUCCGAAUGGGGGAACCCACUACGUUUAAUCGCGUAGUAUCUUGACGUGAAUACAUAGCGUCUUGAUGGCAGACCCAGGGAACUGAAACAUCUAAGUACCUGGAGGAAGAGAAAGAAAAAUCGAUUCCCUGAGUAGCGGCGAGCGAAACGGGAAGAGCCCAAACCAAGAGGCUUGCCUCUUGGGGUUGUAGGACACGCUAUAUGGAGUUACAAAAGAGCGAGUUAGAUGAAGCGACUUGGAAAGGUCCGCCAGAGCAGGUAAAAGCCCUGUAGUCGAAAGUUCGUUCUCUCCUGAGUGGAUCCUGAGUACGGCGGAACACGUGAAAUUCCGUCGGAAUCCGGGAGGACCAUCUCCCAAGGCUAAAUACUACCUAGUGACCGAUAGUGAACCAGUAC